UCUGCAGGCUCACACAGGACAGCUAGGGAUUUCACUCACUGGACAAGCACACACAUUCAUUCAUCAGAAACGGCAACCAGUGACAUGGCUGGAGCUUCACCUGCUCUCAAGAAAGUGACUGGUAUCUUCACAGAAGAAAUUCAACAGUGAAAUUUGUGAAAUCCUCCUACUCUAUGGAGCAACCCUCUGCCUUCAAGUUUUCUCUUUCAUACAGAGGCCGCGACCCCCGAGAGGCAGAAGGCAGUUGGGUGUUCAUUUCACUGAAGUAGUCGCACUUCCCCAACGGGAAUGGGCCUCCUGCCACAUGCUGAGGUAACGCUGUGGUCAAGAGCACUCCAGGCUGGCACACAGUCCUGCCAGGGAGAUAAACAGGAGCGCAGGAUGCAUCUGCUUUUAUCCAGGACCUGAGAGCGGGAUGCCAUGAGAAUAAGGCUAUUGAGUGGAACUUGUAGAGGGGCCAUAUAAUUCCCAGGUGACUUCAUCUCUCUAUAGAUCUUGGGCAGCCGUACAGCUCAAGAAAGAUUGUGGAGCUGACGGAAAUUUCACUUGGCUCUGGAGCCCACUCCACAAGGAAGGCUGGCCUGGAUUGCAUCAUCUAAGAGUACAGUUUGGGGUCUUGUCUGGGAAGGCUGCUGUCUUCCACAUUCCUGCCGGAUGGGAUCAGCUGCCCCGUGAGCAACUGUGGAGCCGUAGGCCACGUACUGUGGCUCUGGGGUUUGCAUGCUUCCUUUGCUGUCCAUGAAGAGCAGGUCACUGAUGGUUUCUGAAGCUAUGACCUUAAUUCCCCAGCGUAGGCGAUUCAGGACACACGGAACACAGAUCCAAGUCCAUGAGUAGUGGAGCUUUGCAAAGAGGGAACCAUUUCUGGGAGUAAGCUGUAAUUUGGGGGAAAAAAAUAACUGGACUGUUGAUCAGGGUUUAAAGAAAU